CCGGAAGGGAGCCAAGCUUGAGCCAUCUUGAUGGGAUGCAGCACACUAGACGGUACCACCAGAGGCUUGGAAAAGGCCAACUGGAUGCCUGAUGACCACAUUAACCUCUCCUCAUUUGAGUUAUUAAUUGCACGUUCUGUCCAAUCCCUUUGGUGUGGCUUCCAAGGAGACAGUC
rnacentral:lncRNA from 1 species